rnacentral:tRNA from 1 species
GCCGACGUAGCUCAGCUGGUAGAGCUACUGAUUUGUAAUCAGUAGGUCGCCGGUUCAAAUCCGGCCGUCGGCUCAA